GCAUGGUACAGAUGACAGCCUGAGCAACAUGCUGCGUUCUGGGCUGGUGGCCCUCUGCCCCCGGAGCAGAGUUGCCAUCCUGAGCUCUUGCUUUGCCAUUGCCCUGGAGAGUCCCCUGUUUCUCCCCUGUGUUGGCUCUCCAGUUUCCUCUGUACUAAGCCUUCCUUUUUCUGAGCUUAAUGUCUUCUUUAGGUACAGCACGUCCUCUAGUAGAUUCCUGAAGAAAAGAUCAUGGAAGACGCAGUGGGCUGGAAGAUGAAAAUGCGGUCACUCUUUCUCACGACGGGGCAAGUUCUCAUGGCCCAGUCCUGCUGCACCAGUUCGGGCAUCUGGCUGGGGUUAGGGAC
rnacentral:lncRNA from 1 species